rnacentral:rRNA from 1 species
UGGUGGAGUGAUUUGUCUGGUUAAUUCCGUUAACGAACGAGACCUCAGCCUACUAAAUAGUUCGCAUGGCAUUCGUGCCGUGUCCGAGCUUCUUAGAGGGACAUUCGGUUUCUAGCCGAAGGAAGUUUGAGGCAAUAACA